GGUAAAAUGGCUGAGGGUAAGCAUUGAACUGUAAAUUCAAAGACAGAGACUAGAUAGAGACUAGAUAUCUCUUUUUACCA
rnacentral:tRNA from 1 species